rnacentral:rRNA from 1 species
AUGGGGCAGGAUGUACUGCUUCCCUCUCACCGAAACCAAGCUCUUCUUCGGCGACAGCUCCACGCGCAUCUUCCGCUUCGACGCCGAGACCCACUGCAUCGACACCAUGCCCAGCCUCCACACGCCCAAGCGCCCCCCCUUGGCCCUCUCCAUCCCUCAGUAUCCGGCCAUCUCGAAGGAAGGCCAAGGUGGAGCCCUCUACAAUACAUCAUGGAUAGCAUCCUCAGGCCGCACAGCGAGGGCCAGGUCCAGUUCGAGGCUAUCGUGUACCGCAGGCGCUACCACCCCACCUCCAGCAAGGCGUGGCACUGCGACGCCCUCCCGCCGCCGCCUUUCGUCCAUGACCUGCAGGUUGGUAACAAACCGGCCUCCGUCUGCUCGUACGCCUUGGUUGGCGGACACACCAUCUGCAUCUCUGUCACGGGAGUCGGCAUCUAUUGCUUCGACACGGUGACUCGCGAGUGGAGCAAGGCCGGCGACUGGCUCAUGCCGUUCCACGGCAGGGCGGGGCACGACCCGGAGCUCGGCCUCUGGUUUGGUGCCUCUCACAGCAACUCCCACCUCCCCUGCGCCGCAGACAUCUCCGGCGUCCUGAGAGGGGAGGGGCCGCUGCCGGAGCACACACGAAUCUGGGCGGACACUGACGUGCCAGAGGGAUGGUACCCACCCCGUUACGGUGGCUGCCCCACCAAACUCGUCAACCUGGGUUCCGUGCGGCCACUGGUUGGUUAA